rnacentral:rRNA from 1 species
AUUUUAUGGUCAAGCUACUAAGGGCGUACGGUGGAUGCCUUGGCGCCAGACGGCGAAGAAGGACGUGGCUACCUGCGAUAAGCCUCGGUGAGGGGGAAGCACCCAUUGACCCGGGGAUUUCCGAAUGGGGAAACCCGACUGGGCAAAACCCAGUCACGGCCCGCUGAAUCCAUAGGCGGGUGCGAGCAAACCCAGGGAAGUGAACCAUCUCAGUACCUGGAGGAAGAGAAAGCAACCGCGAUUCCGUCAGUAGCGGCGAGCGAACGCGGAACAGCCCAAACCCAGCCUUCCUUUGAGAUUUCAUUUUCGAUGUGAGAUCUCAAAGGAGGGUUGGGGGUUGUAGGGCGCGCGCCGGUGAAGAACCAUAGAGUUACCAAUCCAGCGGCUAGCUGAACGGCUUGGAAAAGUCGGUCAUAGAGUGUGAUAACCACGUAAGCAAAAGCUGACUGGACUCUAGCGCGCGUACCUGAGUACCGCGGGACACGAGGAAUCCCGCGGGAAUCUACGGGGACCAUCCCGUAAGGCUAAAUACGUGCUGGCGACCGAUAGUGAACAAGUACCGUGAGGGAAAGGUGAAAAGAACCCCUGCGAGGGGAGUGAAAUAGUACCUGAAACCGUAUGCCUACAAGCAGUCGAAGGGCAACGUGCUCGGAGCAAUCUGAGCGCAAGCCUGACGGCGUGCCUAUUGCAUAAUGAGCCGGCUAGUUAUUGUCCGUCGCAAGGUUAAGCGAAGAUUCCCGAUCUGUCGGGAGGAGCGAGCCGUAGCGAAAGCGAGUCUGAACAGGGCGACAAGUGGCGGGCAAUAGACGCGAAGCGGGAUGAUCUACCCUUGGUCAGGGUGAAAGCCGCGUAACAGCGGCCGGAGGCCCGAACCGGUGUUGGUUGAAAACAGCUCGGAUGAACUGAGGGUAGGGGUGAAAGGCUAAUCAAAUUCCGUGAUAGCUCGUUCUCCUCGAAAUAGCUUUAGGGCUAGCCUCGGAUGUUUGCCCGCGGUGGUAAAGUACUCGAUGGACUAGGGUCUGUUAACGGAUACCGAAUCCAACGAAACUCUGAAUGCCGCGUAGUCAAGUCCGGGAGUCAGACGGCGGGGGCUAAGCUUCGUCGUCGAGAGGGAAAUAGCCCAGACCGCCAGCUAAGGUCCCCAAGCAGUGGCUAAGUGGGAAAGGAAGUGAAGUCGCUUAGACAGCCAGGAGGUUGGCUUAGAAGCAGCCAUCCUUUAAAGAAAGCGUAAUAGCUCACUGGUCGAGCGAUUUUGCGCCGAUAAUUCAACGGGGCUCAAGCCACUUACCGAAGCUGCGGAAUUUGGGAUUUCAAAUUUGAGAUCCCAGAUUGGUAGAGGAGCGUUGAGUACAGUUUGAAGCGGGACCGAGAGGGCCCGUCGACGGUACUCAAGUGACCCUGCCGGCAUAAGUAGCGAUAACGGAGGUGAGAACCCUCCGCGCCGAAAGUCUAAGGUUUCCUGAGAAAGGUUAAUCCGCUCAGGGUUAGUCGGUCCCUAAGGCGAGGCCGAAAGGCGUAGCUGAUGGACAGCCGGUUAAUAUUCCGGCACUACGACGGAGACGUUAUUACGAAGCGGGGACGCAGGAGGAUAGCGGAGUCGGCCUGAUGGCUCAGGCAACGUGCGCAUCGAGGAGGACCUGGCAGGCAAAUCCACCGGGUCGGUUCAAAGCCACUCUGGGGUGCGUGCCGAAACCGCCCUUCGGGGCGGAUAAGUCCGCGAUUUCAUGCUGCCAAGAAAAUCCGCUAAGGAGUCUCCGGCGCAGCCGUACCACAAACCGACACAGGUAGACGAGGUGAAUAUCCAAAGGCGCUUGAGAGAACACUCGCUCAGGAACUAGGCAAAUUAGCACCGUAACUUCGGGAGAAGGUGUGCCUCGCCAGGGUUCAUAGCCCGAGGAGGCCGCAGUGAAAUGCGCUCUGCGACUGUUUAACAAAAACACAGGUCUCUGCAAAGUCGAAUACGACGUAUAGGGGCUGACGCCUGCCCGGUGCCGGAAGGUUAAAGAGAGGGGUCAUGGGGAGCAAUCCCCGGAAGCUCUGAACUGAAGCCCCGGUGAACGGCGGCCGUAACUAUAACGGUCCUAAGGUUAGUACCUAGCUAGCCUUAGUAAAAUCUGGCUGUAUGCGGGAAGGUCCGAGAAUCCUCAGCUACUCGUCACGAGAAGUCGGGACAGUAAAAAUGCUCGAGGUGCGGAUAAUCCGCAGGAAAGGCCGGAUCGAUUUCGGACGAAAGGAGGUGGUGACGUUGAACCACAUUUUGUCCGACACGCGCGAAAACGUAGCGUUGUCAAUGUGGGAGAAGGUAAUAACGGGCUACAACCACCAACUCCCCACAACGGUUGCCCGUCGCGUGACCAAACAGAAUCGGUUCGGAAUCCUCAGAGACUGUACGCCAGACUCCGACGCAAGCCGGAUGAAGAGACAGUCCGGACUGCAUGGCGACAUGCAGAGGGCGGCAGAAAUGACCGCUCCCCUUCACUCUGAAGAUCGGGUGAAGGCG